GACUAAUCCCAACUAUCAGGGGAUGCUCUGUCAAAACGUGCUGCAGGGGCCCUAAGGCGAACAGAGCCGGUGAGCAGCGCGCGCGGCUCAACCAGCUCACCAGUGACAGAGCAGAGGGGCGAGAUUAGCAUAAUGCCUAUCGGAGUGUGUGUGUGUGAUGGAUAGAGAGAGGGAGAAUGUUUUGUGUGUGAGAGACAGAGCAAAAGCAUAUAUUUGAUAUAAAAAAGGAACCUGCAUGCAUAUAGUUGCAACAAUGCGUUCAUGCAUUGCACUGUGUGUUUGCAGUGACCUGACAGCGUAUCGCUGACCUCGUCUCAUGUUUAUCAUCUAACUUUUCACUCUACGAAGCGCCAUCCGGCUGUCUGUCUCCUCUGGGUCUGCUGGGCGGAGAAAAGCUCCGACCGCACCUAUGGAAGCAGAGAGAGAUGGAGCUCGUCUGAAUAUUCAUGCCCUGGGCCCUCAGCACCACCCGAACCCCCCUAAAAUCCUCGGCGCUCUACCCCAGCGACGUGCUCCAGGUUAAGGCCAACUCCGAAAGAGACACAGGCAGGAGAGAAGAAAGAAUUAGUGAGAGAGAAGAAGUCACGGAUGAAGUUGUUGCUAGCAUCUUAACGGGGGACGACAAAGACAUGGUUUCGGUGAAUAAUGACCCGGGCUGCAUCGCAUGUACUGGUAAAGCAAAGCCUGGGGGUUUAUUAACAUCUCGGACCCCUGUCAAUCACGCGAAGGCCCGUCCCAGUGCCCAAUUAUCUUUGAAGCCGGGGCCUCUGGGUCUGGACGUGAUCAAUGAGUGCGCUCCAUCGUCGAUACGGGUGCAGAAGAAGACCUAUUGAUCAGCCAACACUUGUGGACAGCCGUUGCGAGCCGGAUAAUGUCAGAUUGAACCAGCGAGAAGGUGUGUGUGUGUGUGUGUGUGUGUGUGUGUGUGUGUGUUUAUGUUGUGCAUUGGAAAAGUGAUUCUUUUGUUGAAGCUGAGAGCAGGUGCUCACAUGGAAGGAAUAGGUUCAGAUAAGAACUUUAUGUCUUCAGUAACUUGUGGUUGAAGCAUCACGGUUUGAUAUUGUUUUUAUUAGGGCUGGGCGAUAUAUCUAACGAUAUGAUCAUGCGCAUCUAGUCAGUAAAUCUGGUUCCUUGAUUAGCGCUAAAUCGCCAUCACCUGCUUUCAAAUGGAGCGGCAUUUAAUAGACAGAGCCGUAGAUCACUGACAAGGUACGCAAUAUCGCGUUUUUUAUUAGUCUUAGUGAUUUCAUCCAACUCGUAAACUAUGAAACUUUGAAACUAUAAAACUAGCAAAGAAAGUUAGAAAGUGUGUUUUAGCAUGGAUGCAAAAAAAGAGCUAUUUAUGUUUGAAUUUUUACAUCACUUGUAUAAUGAUUUUAAAAAGCAUGUGUUAGUAGUGGGUGAGACAGAGCAUUUCGAAACUCCCAAUCAGUUAAACGUUGGAAAAUGAUUCACUGUCUCGAAGCGAUCCAAUCAGAUCGCGUACCACAAGUCACUGGAUUCAGCUUGGGACUUCAAAUCGUGUAUCAUUUGAUUUAGAUCGGAACUUAGGAGCAGGUUCGUGAAUCUUUUGAUUCAGAAUCAGGACGGAGCGCAUAUCACAAAUCUUUUUUCUGAAUCCUUUUUUUUUUUUUUUUUUUUUUUUUUUUUUUAUUAAACAGAACAAACAUCAAACCAUUAAUGCAAUACAGUUAUAAAAACAAAAAAGAAAGAAAGAAUACACAAAUAUAAAUCCCUUAAGAAAAUUAACCAUGGUUACAUUAUAGUAAAAGUGUAAUAGGCUUUUUUAUAACCCAGUUUUACUAAAUACCAUGGUUAAACUAUGGUUAGUGU
ensembl:lncRNA